rnacentral:rRNA from 1 species
ACUGACGCUCAGGUUCGAAAGCGUGGGGAGCAAACAGGAUUAGAUACCCUGGUAGUCCACGCCGUAAACGAUGACUAUUAAGAGAUGGAGGCUUUCCGGCGUGUCUUCCGGAAGUAACGCCUUUAAUCACUCACCUGGGGAGUACGGCCGCAAGGCUAAAACUUAAAUGAAAUUGCGGGGGGCCCGCCCAACGGUGGACCAUGUGGUUUAAAUUGGAGCAACGUGAAGAACCUUUCCCAGUUCUACAUCCAGAGAACUUAGCAGAGAUUAGUUCUUUCCUUUGGGGACUCAAAGACAGGGUGGUCAUGGGGUCGUCAGCUCGUGUUGUGAAAAUGUGGGUUAAAGUCCUCAACGAUCGCAACCCUUCUCCUUUGUUUCCAAUCAUUCGGUCGGGAACUCAAAGGAGACUGCCGGUGAUAAACCGGAGGAAGGUGGGGAUGACGUCAAAUCAUCAUGCCCCUUACGAGUAGGGCUACACACGUGCUACAAUGGCGGAUACAAAGAGUAGCGACCUCGCGAGAGCAAGCUAAUCUCAUAAAGCCGUUCGUAGUUCGGAUUGUAGUCUGCAACUCGCCUCCAUGAAGUCGGAAUCGGUAGUAAUCGUAGAUCAGAAUUCUACGGUGAAUACGUUCCCGGGCCUCGUACACACCUCCCGUCACACCCAGAGAGUGUGUAACAAAAGAAGUAGGUAAGGUAACCUUCGGAAGGGCGCGACUCAAG